rnacentral:piRNA from 1 species
UNCUCUUCCAGUUUGCUUUGCUGUACCUG